rnacentral:rRNA from 1 species
AGGACGAACGCUGGCGGCGUGCUUAACACAUGCAAGUCGAACGAGGCCCUACCUUCGGGUAGGUGACCUAGUGGGCGAACGGGUGAGUAACACGUGGGCAACCUACCCUCAGCUCUGGGAUAACCCCGGGAAACCGGAGCCUAAUACCGGAUAUGACCUAGAACGACAUCGUUCAUGGUGGAAAGUUUUUCGGCUGAGGAUGGGCCCGUCGGCCUAUCAGCUUGUUGGUGGGGUAAUGGCCCACCAAGGCGACGGACGGGUA